rnacentral:rRNA from 1 species
UUCGGUACAUCGGUGACAGGUGGUGCAUGGUUGUCGUCAGCUCGUGUCGUGAGAUGUUGGGUUAAGUCCCGCAACGAGCGCAACCCCUAUUGUUAGUUGCCAUCAUUCAGUUGGGCACUCUAGCGAGACUGCCGGUAAUAAACCGGAGGAAGGUGGGAUGACGUCAAAUCAUCAUGCCCCUUAUGACCUGGGCUACACACGCGCUACAAUGGUUGGUACAACGAGUUGCGAGUCGGUGACGGCGAGCUAAUCUCUUAAAGCCAAUCUCAGUUCGGAUUGUAGGCUGCAACUCGCCUACAUGAAGUCGGAAUCGCUAGUAAUCGCGGAUCAGCACGCCGCGGUGAAUACGUUCCCGGGCCUU